UCAUCUGUAGCCUUUCUUUUAUUGCACCCUUUUCUUGCAACAAUUCCCUAAUCUGUUGGGCCUUGGCCUCCAAAGUUUGUUCAGGUACACGAUUUAGUUCUUGAAAUUAUUGCAAAUCUCUUUCUAGCCGUGCUAUUGUUGUGUAACAAUGCUCCCUUUCAGCCUUAAAGUCCUUUUCUUGCUUAACCAUUUUGUUUUCAACCACGAUGACCCUCUUCUUCAAUCUCGCAACCUUGUUGUCGUACCUUUCUUUCAAUUGUUCAAUCACGUGUGCUCGUUCGUCUGCAUUUUUGGUCAAUUGUUUCCGGGCCUUGGCAAGCUCACCUCUACUUUGUUCAAGUCAAAAUCAUAUUUUCCUACUUUCCGCCUCAGAUUGUCUAUGAGCUUUUCAUCUUUUGCACUUCUGGUGGGAUUCUCUGCGGCUAUUUUG
rnacentral:lncRNA from 1 species